rnacentral:rRNA from 1 species
CAGAUGUGAAAGACCCGGGGCGUCAACCUCGGAAUAGCAUUUGAAACUAGGCAGACUAGAGUACUGUAGAGGGGGGUAGGAAUUUCAGGUGUAGCGGUGAAAUAGCGUAGAGAUCUGAAGGAAUACCAGUGGCGAAGGCGGCCCCCUCGGACAAAGACUGACGCUCAGAUGCGAAAGCGUGGGGAGCAAACAGGAUUAGAUACCCUGGUAG